rnacentral:rRNA from 1 species
UACAGAGGGUGCAAGCGUUAAUCGGAAUUACUGGGCGUAAAGCGCGCGUAGGUGGUUUGUUUAGUUGAAUGUGAAAUCCCCGGGCUCAACCUGGGAACUGCAUGCAAAACUGGCAAGCUAGAGUAUGGUAGAGGGUGGUGGAAUUUCCUGUGUAGCGGUGAAAUGCGUAGAUAUAGGAAGGAACACCAGUGGCGAAGGCGACCACCUGGACUGAUACUGACACUGAGGUGCGAAAGCGUGGGGAGCAAACAGG